AAACACAAGGGUAAUCGGGCUGCGACGUCUGUCACCCCACAGAUCUGGGGGCUCAGCCUGUGUCCCCUGGCGCCCUCACUGCUCCAUGUGUGCUGUUCCCGAAGCCGCAAAGUCAAAAAGGACGCACCCCACAGGAGGACUGUUUCCUGGGUCGCCGUAUACUAGGAGCUGAGUCCUCCUGCUGGAACCACCAAACGAGCUCUCAAAAUAAAAACACAAACAGGACAAUGCCCCUCAAGCGGAAGUAUAAACAGUGUUAUGCUAUUUGGU
rnacentral:snRNA from 1 species